rnacentral:rRNA from 1 species
CAGUCGCCACGGUAAUACGGAGGAUCCAAGCGUUAUCCGGAAUCAUUGGGUUUAAAGGGUCCGUAGGCGGUCUUGUAAGUCAGUGGUGAAAGCCCAUCGCUCAACGGUGGAACGGCCAUUGAUACUGCAGGACUUGAAUUAUUGGGAAGUAACUAGAAUAUGUAGUGUAGCGGUGAAAUGCUUAGAGAUUACAUGGAAUACCAAUUGCGAAGGCAGGUUACUACCAAUUGAUUGACGCUGAUGGACGAAAGCGUGGGUAGCGAACAGGAUUAGAGACCCCUGUAGUCCCUGUCUCUUAUAC